AGAGAAUCCCUGGUUUCCUCCUCACAGGUCAGAGAAUGUUGGAGGAAUGGCCAGUGCCUCUGAAACUGACCCCCAACCCAGGAUGAAGACCCAGCAAAGCAAUGUAAAAGGGAAAAGUAGGAACUCUUUCUUUCAGUGGGUCUUUCAGUCGGCACUACAAGCUCUCCUGAUGAUCUUCACUCUGUGCUACAGCUCCUCACAGCCUCACAGAGGUGAAGCUGAUAGUGAUGAAGUUUGGAGCAGAGAAGAAUCCAACAGGAACCACAGCCCCGGGUAGAGAGAGACAGAGACAGAGACAGAGAGAGAGAGAGAGAACAGGGGAGAAGCAUUAUUCCUCCCUCACCCUCGAGUGCUCACAGUGGUGAUUAAACUGAGAGGAUUCACAGUUUAAUAGACAGAAUGCUGUGAUGUGAGGGAGAACAGAAGAGCUGGUUCUGUUUCCACGUGGAUCUGCUAAGAGAAACUUCUUUAAAACGUGUGGAGCUUCAGAAGCUUUUCAUUCAUUUCCUAUAUAAUCACAGAACUGAUAUACAUGUAAAUCUCCUGUACUGGAGGACUUUGCUUUUCUGGUGGACGUUAAAAUUAUUUUUCCAUCAAAUAUUAAAAUCAGUCACUCAUACCAGCAGUCAGACUGGUCUACCAGUAACCAGUGAGUGAUGCUCAGUGUUGAAGAAUUUGAUGCUUAUUGAUGUCCUACACCAUCUACCAUCUUUAGCAGACCCUCAGUCCCAUAGCAAACAGAUUAGUUUGUGAAAUUCUGACAUUAAUGCGAAGUUUUCACAAAAACUACAAACUGCAACAAAUAAAUUUAGAACAAGAAUCUUCCUCAACGUGGAGAAAAAUGAUACAGUUGGAGGUAUAAGAAGCGAGUGUGGAUGAAAAGUCUACAGUAAAGUACAGUUGGAGAUAUAAGAAGUGGGUGUGGAGGGAAAG